rnacentral:tRNA from 1 species
GGGGCUGUGGUCUAGCUUGGCAAGAUUCAAGCAUGGGGUGCUUGCGACCCCGGUUCAAAUCCGGGCAGUCCCA